UCUGGAAAAUUAAGAAUUUUUUAAAAUAAAAGCUGAUGUUAUGAUUCACAGCUGUACCAUAUUACUUCAGGCUCACCACCAUCAGUUAUUCUUCCAUAUGACAUAGGGUCCUAAGGGGAGGGGCCAACUCAAGAACCAAUCACCAGAGCCUAAGCUCUGGACGAGCUUGAUGACGUCAAAAAUUCUAUAAGAGGAGAGAAGACAGCUUGAAGAUUGAUUUUUGUUGGAGCCAGAGACAGCUAUCACCAAAGCUGAAGAUAAAGCCGAAGCAGGAGCUGCCAGGUAGCAGAGCCGACCCACGUGUGGACCAAGGAGUACUGAGCAAGGACUUGAGGCCAGUGUUAUUAAGAAGCCUCACUUCCAUUGCUUCCAAGCAAGGACUGUUCCUCAUGAAAGUGUAUUGAAACAUAUUGACAAAUAACCUGCAUGGUAUUUAAAAUGAGAUGGUUCUGGCCAUUGAACUCCGGCUCUAAGGUGAAAUAAAACAUUGUUCCCUUGGAGAAAUUAAUUUGGGUACUUUUUGCUAAAGAUCUCUUAACAGUUAAAAGAUCUUAACAAGGUUAAGAUAGGUGUCAUAUAGGAAUGUUUUUGGUUACUUUGUGCUUUGGAGCUUAUUAACAUUUUCAGGCAUCUUCACUCUCUUCAGAAGACUUUAUAAUGGACUCUGUGAAUUCUCUGACAGCUAAAGUGGAACAAAAUAAAGCUAUAAAUAAUCCUUUUAUCAUAUUCCAUUUGCCACCAGAGUGAUAGACCAUACAUGUACCAUUUUUAUUUGGCACAUUAGUGCCAGACUAUCUAUAUAUUGCAUAUCUCUUACAAAAUUGUUAGCAGGAAUUAUUUAGGAUUGAGUGUCUUGUUUUUUUCUUUGCUGUUUAGCCUUUGGCAGCACCAUAAUAUUAAUAUCCCAGUAAGCAUUGGAAUUUAAAAUUAAUUAUUAAGCUAAAUAUUUUUAAUAAACUUUUGAAAUACCUAUUAGAAUAAGAAUUUAAAAUUACAAAAAUUCAGGCAAUACAGUAUUUUAGUCAGAAUUUGAUGAUGGUAAACAGGAACAACAAUAUUUUUAAACAUUUUUUAAACAAAUGAGGUAAUCUUGAUAAUUAAUAUUGGGUGUUUUAGUAGACAUAGUUAGCCCACAUUUUCUUUACGUUUUGCUCCUUUGGAUUUUUAAUUUAACUCAUAAUAACUCAAUGUUAGAAUAGAGUACUAAGUACACUUUCAUUUCAGUCUUUAAAGAUAGCCUAGCCCCAUGGUCCCUUUUAUGCUUGCCCUUUAGACUGUAAACUUGUAGAAUCAUAUCAAUAGGAAUUCAGUAAUAUUGUGAAUAUCAUUUUAGAUGGUAAAGUAGUUAGAUACGAUACUUUGGACUUAGGUAGAUAUUUAUAUGUAGUUGCAGUUAAAUUAAUUUUAGUGUUCUCCACACCAGUAUAAAUCAUAACCCCUCUAUACCUUUUUAUCUUGUACAUUUCUCUUUCAUAUAUUUGCUUAAAUCCCCCAUGAGGUGGGGAGGGUCCACCCAGUGUCCUGAAGACUUUCUCUGAUUCUUUUAAUAUCUCAAAAAUACCAUGGAACAAACAGUUUGCUGUCCAUUUGUUUCUGAUUCUCACUGCAUGAUCCAGCUUACACAUAUAUUUAAUGAUAUCUUCUCUACAAAUAUGCCUGUUUAUAUCUUGAAAAAGCCCUGAAAUCAUCUACAAUUUUGAUUAGUAGGAUAUCGUAUUGUUAUUUUAUUUGCAUCCAUCGAAUGCUAUUGGUGGUUAAAAAUUAGAGUUUUGCAGCUGCAGGAUCAUCAGAUGUGCUAUAUAUAGUUUGACAAAUACAAUUCAGUCUCAUAUCCUUUACUUAAUUUUGAGCCCAGUUAAUUGUUCUUAUGCAACAGUUUUCCAUAUAUAGUUGGACUAACUAAAUGGGCUUCCUGUCCAAUUGACUAUCAUACUUUGGACAACAUGUGUUUUUUCAUCUGCCUUGUUUUUCCAUUUUGGUAAGGUAAACCAAUCUUUUAAAAAUUAUUAACAGUUUCACUGAGGAGCCUCUGUAGUGUACUGUGAUUUGAAGCAAUUAUUACAACGUAUUCUAUGGAUUGGAGUAUUUGGAAAACCUCACGUUUAGAAGGGAAUCAUUUCUGUUUGGACUCUUUACAAGAUAUCCAGUGCACUGGCAAACAUCAUAGAUGAGCAUAUAUCUCCCUGGUAUAUGCCUCAUGUGAUGUCAAUAUUCAGAAAGUCAAAGAAGAUUCAUCUCCAUAGGCACAAUUGUCCUUAAAUUUUAUAUAACAUUAACAUAUUUUCUCUUCUACCUCUACCUCCUUAAAUCUUAUAUAAUCUUAACAUAUUUUCUCUUUUACCUUUGUUUAUACAUUCACUCAUGCCUGGAAUAGCUCCCUACCCCGGUAUAGAUCUCUUUGACUCCAUGCCUUUUUUCAAGCUCCUCCAUGAAACUUUCCCUGACACCCUUUCUCCUCCCCUCCAUUCCAAGCGAAGUCAUCCUCCUCAAAAUUCUUGUGGCAUUUUGCUUGGACCUAGAAUUGGCAUUUAUCUCUCAUAUCACAGGUGUUUUUUUGUUUUCUUAAUGAACACAUUUGCCCUCAUAUUAGACUGUUACAUCCUGGAAAGUAGGGUUUUUGUUGUAUAUUCAGGGUCUAGCGCAAUGUCUACUGAAUCUUGUUUGAGACAGGCCUAUAAAGUUCUGUUUGGCUUUGCCUAGUCAUAUGCCUUUUUAAAUCAGCAAUAGAUAUAGCAGGCUCUAUAUUCUCUACAUCUGUCAUUGUGGGACUAUGAAGAUACCAUCUGCUAUAGAAAAUUGCCUGCAAAAACCUGCCUGGUCCCAUCUCCUGUUUUCAUCAAGAAUAUUCUUCUGCAUAAACCGUAAAGAUUUUAUAGAGAUGAGAAAUUAAACAUAUUAU